CGGGAGCAGCAUCCCCGUGGGAAGGAGGGUGGGAAGGAGGGAGGGAAGGAAGGAGGGAGCCGGGCUUGGUGAGUCAACACUGCAGAGCUGCUGCGAGAGGAGAGGGAGGCAGAGCCAGGCCGGCCGGGAAGGACGGAUUUGCUGAGCCCGCGACAAAAAUGGUUUUGAGUAAUUAUCGACGCCUGCCGCUAUGUGGCCAGGAAGAUGAGGACCCUGUGGAGCCGGGAGCACCGGGAGCCCCGCGGCCACCGACAGAAUGUAAAGGCAGAGGUAUCAGCACCCCCUGAAGCAACAGCCUCCCUUCCCAGGAACAUCAAACCCAUCCAGUGCAGGUCCUGACAGUAAAAGCCGUCAAAGUCCUCCCAUGAAGGCCACAAGAUUUCUUCCCACUGAUUUCUCCAGGGAAUCCAUUUGCUGGGAAUCUUGCAGCACAGGGAUUGGAAAAUAUCAGCAAAUCCCUCCUGUAUCUGCUCUCAACACAGAAGCACAACGAUAGAAAACACCCUAAUUGGUCUCCUGUUACCAGAAUUUUCUAGCUGGCAGAC
rnacentral:lncRNA from 1 species